AGUCUUUACACACUUGAUGGACAACCUGUUAAAUCUGUGACGGAGUUGAAGUUUGACGGCUGUUACGUUGCUGUUAGUAAGGGGAAGUUUAAACCUGUUCAGUACUUCAGCAAGAAAUGUGACGGGAACAAAUGUAAAGAGAAACAAUUUGUUCAAGCAGUACGUCAUAAAGAAGACAUUAAACCUGUUGUUCAGACCAAAACCGAGGUGACUGGUAAAAAUGAGAGAAAUCCAAAAAUAGAGUAUUUCACCAUCGAUGUUUUCACCAAUGGAGAGCCUCUAAUUCCUUCAGUGA